GGAGAGAUGGCUCAGUGGUUAAGAGCACUGACCAUUCUUCCAGAAGUCCUGAGUUCAAUUCCCAGCAACCACA
rnacentral:tRNA from 1 species